rnacentral:rRNA from 1 species
UACGGAGGGUGCAAGCGUUAUCCGGAUUCACUGGGUUUAAAGGGUGCGUAGGAGGGCAGGGAAGUCAGUGGUGAAAUCUCCGGGCUUAACUCGGAAACUGCCGUUGAUACUCUCUGUCUUGAAUCCCGUGGAGGUGAGCGGAAUAUGUCAUGAGCGGUGAAAUGCUUAGAUAUGACAUAGAACACCGAUUGCGAAGGCAGCUCGCUACACGAAGAUUGACUCUGGAGGCACGAAAGCGUGGGGAUCAAACAGG